rnacentral:rRNA from 1 species
CUACGGGGUGCUCCAGUGGGGAAUAUUGGACAAUGGGGGAAACCCCGAUCCAGCAAUGCCGCGUGUGUGAAGAAGGCCUGCGGGUUGUAAAGCACUUUCGGUUGGGAGGACUGCUUCUAGCACUAAUAUUGUUGGAAGUUGACGUUACCUUCAGAAGAAGCACCGGCUAACUCCGUGCCAGCAGCCGCGGGUAAUACGGAGGGUGCAAGCGUUAAUCGGAAUUACUGGGCGUAAAGCGCGCGUAGGCGGCUAGAUCAGUCGGGUGUGAAAGCCCCGGGCUUAACCUGGGAACUGCAUCCGAUACUGUCUAGCUUGAGUACAGGAGAGGAGAGUGGAAUUCCACAUGUAGCGGUGAAAUGCGUAGAUAUGUGGAGGAACACCAAUGGCGAAGGCAGCUCUCUGGCCUGAUACUGACGCUGAGGUGCGAAAGCGUGGGGAGCAAACAGGAUUAGAUACCCUUGUAGUC